rnacentral:rRNA from 1 species
UACGUAGGGUGCAGGCGUUAAUCGGAAUUACUGGGCGUAAAGCGUGCGCAGGCGGUUCCGCAAGGCAGAUGUGAAAUCCCCGGGCUCAACCUGGGAACUGCAUUUGAAACUACGGGGCUAGAGUGUGUCAGAGGGGGGUGGAAUUCCACGUGUAGCAGUGAAAUGCGUAGAGAUGUGGAGGAACACCAAUGGCGAAGGCAGCCCCCUGGGAUGACACUGACGCUCAUGCACGAAAGCGUGGGGAGCAAACAGG